rnacentral:piRNA from 1 species
UGCCUUGCCUUCCUGAAGUGCUUGU